rnacentral:rRNA from 1 species
CCUACGGGAGGCAGCAGUGAGGAAUAUUGGUCAAUGGACGAGAGUCUGAACCAGCCAAGUAGCGUGAAGGAUGACUGCCCUAUGGGUUGUAAACUUCUUUUAUAUGGGAAUAAAAUGUUCCACGUGUGGGAUUUUGUAUGUACCAUAUGAAUAAGGAUCGGCUAACUCCGUGCCAGCAGCCGCGGUAAUACGGAGGAUCCGAGCGUUAUCCGGAUUUAUUGGGUUUAAAGGGAGAGUAGGUGGAUUGUUAAGUCAGUUGUGAAAGUUUGCGGCUCAACCGUAAAAUUGCAGUUGAAACUGGCAGUCUUGAGUACAGUAGAGGUGGGCGGAAUUCGUGGUGUAGCGGUGAAAUGCUUAGAUAUCACGAAGAACUCCGAUUGCGAAGGCAGUUCACUGGACUGCAACUGACACUGAGGCUCGAAAGUGUGGGUAUCAAACAGGAUUAGAUACCCGAGUAGUC